rnacentral:rRNA from 1 species
GACGAACGCUGGCGGCGUGCUUAACACAUGCAAGUCGAACGAAGUGGCGAACGGGUGAGUACCGCGUAAUCAACCUGCCCUUCAGAGGGGGACAACAAGUGGAAACGACUGCUAAUACAGCAUACUGAAGGAGGGGAGUGCGUCUGAUUAGCUAGUUGGAGGGGUAACGGCCCACCAAGGCGAUGAUCAGUAGCCGGUCUGGGAGGAUGAACGGCCACAUUGGGACUGAGACACGGCCCAGACUCCUACGGUAGGCAGCAGUGGGGAAUCUUCCGCAAUGGACGAAAGUCUGACGGAGCAACACCGCGUGAGUGAUGACGGCCUUCGGGUUGUAAAGCUCUGUUAAUCGGGACGCGGUACCGGAAUAGAAAGCCACGGCUAACUACGUGCCAGCAGCCGCGGUAAUAC